GAAAGACUGUGGCUCAGCGGCAGAACAUCUGCUUAGCAUGCAGAAGGUCCCAGGUUCAAUCCUCAGCAUUUUCA